rnacentral:rRNA from 1 species
CCCUCCAGCGCCGAUGGUACUUGGACCGCAGGGUCCUGGGAGAGUAGGACGUCGCCAAGC